rnacentral:rRNA from 1 species
CCUACGGGUGGCAGCAGUAGGGCAUAUUGCUCAAUGGGGGAAACCCUGAAGCAGCAACGCCGCGUGGAGGAUGAAGGUUUUCGGAUUGUUAACUCCUUUUGUUAGAGAAGAUAAUGACGGUAUCUAACGAAUCAGCACCGGCUAACUCCGUGCCAGCAGCCGCGGUAAUACGGCGGGUGCCAGCGUUACUCGGAAUCACUGGGCGUUAAGAGCGCGUAGGCGGGAUAGCAAGUCAGAUGUGAAAUCCUAUGGCUUAACCAUAGAACUGCAUUUGAAACUGUUAGUCUAGAGUAUGGGAGAGGUAGGUGGAAUGCUUGGUGUAGGGGUAAAAUCCAUAGAGAUCAAGAGGAAUACUCAUUGCGAAGGCGACCUGCUAGAACAUAACUGACGCUGAUGCGCGAAAGCGUGGGGAGCAAACAGGAUUAGAUACCCCAGUAGUC